GGAUCUUCUUGGGGGCUUGCUGGAAGACUUGUGACUUUAAGCCCAGGGAUUCUCUGCUCGGGAUGUGCACCAUGUGGACUGUGGAUCCUCCUUUUUGCUGGAGCUGCGUGGCAUGUGUUUGAACAAAGCUUGUUCCAGUUUUGAGUGGAUUUUCUCAUUUGAUGAUGUUGGCUGUGACUUCUCAACUACUAUGAGUUGCAAUGAGUAACCUGUGGAGUUUUGUGUUGACAUCCAAUAUUACUUGCUGGGAUAAAUUCAGUGAUCCAUGAAGUCCGAGUAGAGCCGAAGUCAGGAGAAAAUGGAAUCUGUGCUGAGUGGUUGCAGACCUGACUGAUGGUUCAUUGCUUACUAUGCUGGUAGGAAGAGUGGCUAUAUGCAACUUGAAGAUGAUCUGUGGACAGAAGUAAAUUGAGAUAUAGUUGAAGAUGCUGCUGUCUAUUGGGGGCAAAAAGAUUGACAGAUCCGUGAACAGGGAAGUUAAUAACCCUGCAUAAAGGUGGGAUCUGCUGCCUAUGGUUCAAUGUGUGAUGAGCUGUGUACUCUCA